AGGUCGCCAUGGGCUGGGCAGAUCCUGAAGAGAAACCAACUUGAGUCUGACAGUCCUUCCAGAACACGGCACCCACCUCCACCAUAUAACACAGCCAAGGUGAAACACUAAGGAGGCUCUGUAAGGCAUGACUCUGAAGAAGGCCACUAUCUUUUACUGCCAUGACACCAUUUCUCAGAACACAUCACAUGGCCCCUGAGUGGUCAGGAGUCCAGAGAAAAACAGUCAAGCCCUCCUUUAAUAGUAAAAUUUUUGUCUGACCCUCUCUUUGUGGAAGUUCUCUCUUUAAUUCUUCUUGAAAUAAAUGCCUAUUUGAAAUCUGAGGAAACAAAAGCUCAGAAAGUGACUGGGUCCUUGACUUCCCAGCUCUUUACUACAGUCACUGGGGAACACAGUGACCCCAUCCCUAAUCGCUUCUUCAAGCGGUGCAAGUGACCCAGGAAUUCCCCGGCCAUUGCACAAUGAACUUUCCAUACCUUUAUUGGGAAUUCAGUUGUGGGGAGGAAAUCAAGACUUUCAAAAACAUUAUCAGGAGACAAAAAUGAAGCCCCAUCUGCAUUUGAAUUUUCCAGUUUCUCAGUGUCAGGCAUUGAAUUGUCAUGGUUUGGCUCCCACUCGUUUUCUGCUUCAACGCUCAACAAGAAGACGUGGAAGUGCAGAACCACCUAGAAUUCACUUGG
rnacentral:lncRNA from 1 species